rnacentral:tRNA from 1 species
GCGGCUCAAUGGUAGAGCGUCUGCUCGACCUGCAGAAGGUCGCCGGUUCAAUCCCCAGAAUCUCCA